rnacentral:rRNA from 1 species
GAUGAACGCUAGCGAUAGGCUUAACACAUGCAAGUCGAGGGGCAGCAUGGUCUUAGCUUGCUAAGACUGAUGGCGACCGGCGCACGGGUGCGUAACGCGUAUGCAACUUGCCUCACAGAGGGGGAUAACCCGUCGAAAGACGGACUAAUACCGCGUACACUCCAUCUUGGGCAUCCAAGGUAGAGGAAAUGAAAUUCGCUGUGAGAUAGGCAUGCGUCCCAUUAGCUAGUUGGUGAGGUAACGGCUCACCAAGGCGACGAUGGGUAGGGGAACUGAGAGGUUGAACCCCCACACUGGUACUGAGACACGGACCAGACUACUACGGGAGGCAGCAGUGAGGAAUAUUGGUCAAUGGGCGAGAGCCUGAACCAGCCAAGUCGCGUGAAGGAUGACUGUCUUAUGGAUUGUAAACUUCUUUUAUACGGGAAUAACAAGAGUCACGUGUGACUCCCUGCACGUACCGUAUGAAUAAGCAUCGGCUAACUCCGUG